GUAGUUUAUUAAAUUAGCAUUAAAUGGAUGCCUAUAAUCUAAAUAAUUAAUAUAAUUUAAAUUAUAAUAACUAGGGGUAAUUAUUUUUUUUAUAUCUAAAAAAUUGUAAACCCUAGAAUUUAAUAGAUAUAUAAUGAAGUGAAACAUCAUAGUAAUUAUAUAUUAAAAAAUUCAAUUGAGAUUAAUUAAACGGUGAUUAUUAAUUAAUAGUUAUUUAUUUUUUUAAAUAAAAAUUUUUAAAAAUUUGCAAAUUAAGGUAAUAGCCCUUGUAGUUAUU
rnacentral:rRNA from 1 species